GACGAACGCUGGCGGCGUGCCUAAUACAUGCAAGUAGAACGCUGAAGAGAGGAGCUUGCUCUUCUUGGAUGAGUUGCGAACGGGUGAGUAACGCGUAGGUAACCUGCCUGGUAGCGGGGGAUAACUAUUGGAAACGAUAGCUAAUACCGCAUAAAAUUGAUUAUUGCAUGAUAAUUAAUUGAAAGAUGCAACUGCAUCACUACCAGAUGGACCUGCGUUGUAUUAGCUAGUUGGUGAGGUAACGGCUCACCAAGGCGACGAUACAUAGCCGACCUGAGAGGGUGAUCGGCCACACUGGGACUGAGACACGGCCCAGACUCCUACGGGAGGCAGCAGUAGGGAAUCUUCGGCAAUGGGGGGAACCCUGACCGAGCAACGCAGCGUGAGUGAAGAAGGUUUUCGGAUCGUAAAGCUCUGUUGUAAGAGAAGAACGGGUGUGAGAGUGGAAAGUUCACACUGUGACGGUAUCUUACCAGAAAGGGACGGCUAACUACGUG
rnacentral:rRNA from 1 species